AUACGGAGGGGGUUAGCGUUGUUCGGAAUUACUGGGCGUAAAGCGCACGUAGGCGGACUGGAAAGUUGGGGGUGAAAUCCCGGGGCUCAACCCCGGAACUGCCUCCAAAACUUCCAAUCUAGAGAUCGAGAGAGGUGAGUGGAAUUCCAAGUGUAGAGGUGAAAUUCGUAGAUAUUUGGAGGAACACCAGUGGCGAAGGCGGCUCAUUGGCUCGAUACUGACGCUGAGGUGCGAAAGCGUGGGGAGCAAACAGGAUUAGAUACCCUUGUAGUCC
rnacentral:rRNA from 1 species